rnacentral:rRNA from 1 species
CCUACGGGGUGCAGCAGUGAGGAAUAUUGGUCAAUGGGCGCGAGCCUGAACCAGCCAAGUCGCGUGAGGGAAGACGGUCCUAUGGAUUGUAAACCUCUUUUGUCGGGGAGCAAAAGACGCCACGCGUGGCGUUCCGAGAGUACCCGAAGAAAAAGCAUCGGCUAACUCCGUGCCAGCAGCCGCGGUAAUACGUAGGGGGCAAGCGUUAUCCGGAUUUACUGGGUGUAAAGGGAGCGUAGACGGUAUGGCAAGUCUGAUGUGAAAACCCGGGGCUCAACCCCGGGACUGCAUUGGAAACUGCCGAACUAGAGUGUCGGAGAGGCAAGUGGAAUACCUAGUGUAGCGGUGAAAUGCGUAGAUAUUAGGAGGAACACCAGUGGCGAAGGCGGCUUGCUGGACGAUGACUGACGUUGAGGCUCGAAAGCGUGGGGAGCAAACAGGAUUAGAUACCCGAGUAGUC